rnacentral:lncRNA from 1 species
UGAUAUAUCUCGACUUUGCAAAAGGAGCCUUUGAUAAAGUCGAUCAUGGAAUGAUAUGUCACAAACUGCGUGAUCUCAACAUAGUUGGAAAACUUGGGAGAAUGGCUUCAUGACUUUCUGAUAGGAUAGAAGGUCAGGUGGUAGUAGCAAUGGGGCCACCUCCAUUAACACACAAAUAGUGAGCGGUGUUCCGCAGGGCACUGUUCUUGGGACCACUACUGUUCAUAAUGGCCCUCUCAGACAUGCCCUCAGCCACGCAGAGAGCCACGAUCACAAGUUAUGCAGAUGAUACAAAAGUUUCACAGGCAAUACAGAACCCUGAGGACACUAAACACCUGCAAUGUGAGCUGGACGAAAUAUACAAGUGGGCUGAAAAGAAUAGCAUGCAGUUCAAUGCUGGAAAGCCAAGCUUUAUACUAUCAGCAUGCAAAACUGAAUGCAAUACCCAAUGAAUACACUGGACCCGGAGGGAUUGCAAUCCCAGAGGCACAAUCAGUGCGUGACCUGGGUAUUCACAUGAGUGAUGACGCGACCUUUCAUGUACAUGUUGCUAAACUGACAAUGAAAUGUAGACGGCUGGCUGGAUGGAUUCUUAGAACCUUUAGAACAAGAGAACAAGAAACCAUGAUGGUCCUCUGGAAGACACUUGUCCUAAGCCACUUUGACUAUUGCUCUCAGCUAUGGUCACCAUCCAGUGUCAAGUUGAUCACAGAACUUGAGACGAUCCAACGAAGCUACACAAAGAAGAUAGCCUCUAUGCAGAAUGUAAGCUACUGGGAAAGACUCAAGAGAUUAAAAUUAUAUUCCCUGGAGCGUAGGCGGGAAAGAUAUGCCAUAAUAUACAUCUGGAUAUAUAUCGGAGUUACGCAAAUGCCAGAACUACUGCGUGGUGCCUAGGACUCCAAACCUAUCAAGAUGUAGGACAAGAUACUGUGAUAGCCUGGGCUUCCGAGGCCCACAGCUCUUCAAUAUCCUCCCGAAGAACCUGAGAGACCUGCAUGGGGUGGAUACAGAUGUCUUUAAAAUGAAGCUGGAUCUCUUCCUGUCAGGUGUCCCAGAUGAACCAACUAUAUAUAUAUAGAAUCAAUCAAUCAAUAUAUAUAUAUAUACAUAUACAUAUAUAUAUACAUAAGUAUAUAAAUACAUACAUAUAUAUAUAUACAUAUACAUAUAUAUAUAUAUAUACAUAUAUAUAUACAUAUAUAUAUAUAUAUAUAUACAUAUAUAUAUACAUAUACAUAUAUAUAUACAUAUACAUAUACAUAUACAUAUAUAUAUACAUAUACAUAUACAUAUACAUAUACAUAUACAUAUAUAUAUACAUAUACAUAUAUAUAUACAUAUACAUAUAUAUAUACACAUAUACAUAUAUAUAUACAUAUACAUAUAUAUAUACAUAUACAUAUAUAUAUACAUAUACAUAUAUAUAUACAUAUACAUAUAUAUAUACAUAUACAUAUAUAUAUACAUAUACAUAUACAUAUAUAUAUACAUAUACAUAUAUAUAUACAUAUACAUAUAUAUAUACAUAUACAUAUAUAUAUAUAUAUACAUAUAUAUAUACAUAUACAUAUAUAUAUACAUAUAUAUAUAUAUAUACAUAUAUAUAUAUAUAUACAUAUACAUAUAUAUAUACAUAUACAUAUAUAUAUACAUAUAUAUAUAUAUAUAUAUAUAUAUAUAUAUAUAUAUAUAUAUAUAUAUAUAUAUAUAUACAUAUACAUAUAUAUAUAUAUAUAUAUAUAUAUAUACAUAUACAUAUAUAUAUAUAUAUAUAUAUAUAUAUAUAUAUAUAUACAUAUAUAUAUAUAUAUAUAUAUACAUAUAUAUAUAUAUAUAUAUAUAUAUAUAUAUAUAUAUAUAUAUAUAUAUAUAUACAUAUAUAUAUAUAUAUAUAUAUAUAUAUAUAUAUAUAUAUAUAUAUAUACAUAUAUAUAUAUAUAUAUAUAUAUAUAUAUAUAUAUAUAUAUAUAUAUAUAUAUAUAUAUCUAUGUUAUGGCUCCCCCUCGUUAUCGAGUAUGGCCAUUGCACGAAGCUUAACUGUUACUGGUGCUGUGAUCGAAUGUGACUUUUAGCCCUGCUAAAGAUCUAUAAUGUCUUGUACAAAAUUGGCAACUAAAACCUUUACUGGUAAUAGCCGGCUGUAGUUGUAACUGGGCUUCAUGUACCUUUGCAUGUCAUUUAAGUCCUCCUGCCGAAUUACACUCUCUUCCACAUGCCCGACAGAUAUGAUUAAUAUGGUGUGUUACACCACCACCAGUGGCCAGGUUGUCACUCAUCUGUCUCGUUUUAUGACUACGAAGAUGAUUCAUGAGUCCAGCUUUACUGAGGUAGGGUCUUGCACAGACAUUGCAUGUCAGAAUCAAAGGAAGACCCUUCCCUUCUGGAAGUGUAACAGCGAUGCCCUUCCUGACAUCCCUCCUUACUUUCUCAUGUGCAACUCGAGAUUUCUCAAACGUGGCUGUCCCCUCACUAUAUAUUACACGCUCACGUGGUCGCACCAGUUUUAUCCAGUCUCCACCUCAUAACAUUUUGAAAUUUUCUUGGAUUAUUCUACCUGGAUUCUCUACCUGGACUUUCUUCUAUUCUCCUACACUCGUACUCGUACACUGUACACUUCGGCUGCACCUCUCCUACCCAUGGAUUACACUGGACUCUUCCUUUGAUGAGCAAUCGCUCCAAUACACCGCAAUGUUUGAACCUUUUGAACUUUUCUAAACUUGUUUGUACUUUCUGCUUUUUUCUAUUUGUCAUUUCUCUCAAUCCACACUUGUUACCUUGCCUCUCUCUCCCUCCCCUUUUCCCUUUUGUCUUCUCUUCUUUUGUCUUCCCCUUUCUCUUUGUUUCUUCCUUCUUCCUCCUUCUUUCUCCCCUUGUUUCUAUUUUUACUUCUCCCACCUCUUCUAUUUUUUUCUCUCCUCAUGCCAUUUGCACUUUUUCUUCUCAAGCCUUUUGCAUUUUUUUCUCCCCUCACCUUUUGAAUUUUAUUUGCCUUUCUCUCUCCCCCUUGUUUUUCCAUAUUUCUCCUUCCUCUCUCUUUCUCAUUUUUCAGUCAUGUCCGAAUACAAACCUUUCCUCUUCCACCUUCACCACUGCCUAAAAAAACACCUUUCCACAUUUCCUUUCAGCUACUUUCAACCUUCUAUUGACCUUUCUCUACUAAUUUUCCAAAAAACAUGCUUCUCUAGCCACCUUUCUUUUCUCAGUCGCUGCCUUCAUCACUGCCUCAUCCCUAAAGGUUUCUGCCUCCAUUUCCGCCCCACUCUCUACUCUGCUUCAACCAUCCUACCCAUACUCUGUACUACAGCCUACUGCCUUAUGCAUGCCACCAUUCAUUCCAAUCCCUCCAAAAUACACACCAUCGACCACCUUCUCCCUCUUGCUUUUUCCAUCUUCUCUCAGUUGCCCCCCCCCCCCCCAUGCUAACACUACUUUACAUUACAUAAUUCAUUUAAAUUAUCUCUUUCAUCAAUUUCUCACUCACACCAAACAAAGUAAACUCCACUCACUCCAACAUUCCAUCACACCUGAUCCAACUACCCCGACUCCUCCCCUACUGCUCUCCCUCCCUGAUAUGCUUCCCCCAUCUUCACCAAACCCCAACCCUCCCAACCCCCAUCCACAUACACCUCAUCCCCUCCCACCCAGCCUUCCACCACCCCACCACACCUCCUACUUCUGUCCCAUCCACCCCUUCUCCACUUCGGUCUGUUGUUACCAUUCCUCCAGAUCUACCCCUCUCUGAGGUGGAGUGCUCCCUCCUCAUUAGGAAUCUGCACUUCGUCCCCCUCACUCCAUCCAGCAACGAGUUUCAUUACCCACAUCGCCUUACUGGCACUUAUGCUGGUGGCAGAUAAAAAGCACCAUUUGAGCGUGGUCAUUACCAGUACCGCCUGACUGCUCUCAUGCCGGUAUAUAUGUAUAUAUAUAUGUAUUAUAUAUGUAUAUAAAGCACCCACUACACUCUCGGAGUGGUUGGCGUUAGGAAGGGCAUCCAGCUGUAGAAACUCUGCCAGAUCAGAUUGGAGUCUGGUGCAGCCAUCUGGUUCGCUAGACCUCAGUCAAAUCGUCCAACCCAUGCUAGCAUGGAAAGCGGAUGUUAAAUUAUGAUGAUGUAUAUAUGCCAAUUUUAUCGAAUAAAGUUACUGUUUAGCAUUACAAGAUAUUUUUUAUUUAAUUGUGGUAAAUAUAUACCUGUUAAAAUAAGAUGUUAGUUUUAAUUUCAUUUUUGUGUAAUUUAGAUGACACUCCAUUCAACACAUCCUGUAUAUGUACACACACACACACACACACACACACAUGUAUGUAAGUCUCUUAUGAAGUAUACAUGUGACAUAGAAUCUAGUACAAUCUGUUGCGUGGUUUGGCCAUCAGCAAUGAAAGCAAUGCCGCACCAGGCUAACUGGGUGAGGAAUGUUGCUAGAAUCUCAGCAGGACUAAAAUGAAGAUCUGUCAAAAUGACAGAUGAACCCACUUUAGGUUCAACAGCUGACUAGUAAUAGCAGAGGCACUUACAAAUUCCUGAAUGGUAUCCAGUGUGUUGGAUGACCUCUCGUAGUGAGGCAUGUCUCAACUUUUGUUAAAGAGUGUCUUGAGGAGAAUUUCAUUCUGACUUAAAACUGUAUAUGCAGGGAAUAAUAGUGGACAUUUUGGGGAUCUUUUGCUUGCAUUUGAAAUCAUGGUUUUUUGACACUCCUUAGCUUGCAACCCAUAUUGGCAGUAGAUAUCUUGUCUUUGCUUGUUUCUUGAUCAUGUCAAUAGGGUGGAGAGGGUCUCUCAUUGGAUUUUAAAUUUUGCACAAGCAUUGCUGACAUUAAAUCAGGGACAUUGCUGUUUGAGUGCACAAUGUUCUUAAUGAUCAGUGAUAGUCUUCCUUGAUCAUUAGUGGAUAGUCAUCAUCAUCAUUCAGCAUUCAUGAUUUAAUUGGCAUAUGUAAUAAUAUUUACUGAUUAAAUUAUGUUAUUCUUUUACAUGUUUUACUCAUCUGACUGUGGCCAUGCUGGAGACCACCUCAAAGGGUUUUAGUUAAAGAAAUCAACCUCAGAACUUAUACUUUGCAAGCCUAGUACUUAUUCUAUCGGUCUCUUUUGCCAGACCACUAAAUUACUGGGACAGAUACGAAGAUACACACACAUAAAUGCAUGUUCACACACACAUGUAUAUGACAGGCUUCUUUCAGCUUCUGUCUAUCAUAUCCACUUACAAGGCUUCGUUUGGUCCGAGGCUAUAGUAGAAUACACUUGCACAAGGUGCCAUGCUGUGGGACUGAACCUGGAACCAUGUGGUUGGGAAGCAAGCUUCUUACUACAGCCAUGCCUGUACCUAUCUCACUAAUAGUUUUAUAGAAGGAUUAAAUAUCAAUGAUCCUCUGAUCAUUACUAAUUCAUCUUUAUUGAGUAUCAAUAAUAUAUGCCCAGCCAAUCAAUUGUAACUCUGGUAUGGAUUGAUACACUGUUUCGUGAAUUCCUCACCAAACUAUCUUGCAAUCAUGUAGUUAAUAAUUUAAUAUUUGCAGACAUUAAAUCUUAAGUGUAUAUACACACACACACACACACACACACACACACACACACAUAUACACACACAGAGGCACUUUAAAAGCAGCCAGCACGUUCUGUAAAGUGGUUGGCAUUAGGAAGGGCAUCCAGCUCUAGAAACCAAACCGCAUAACACAGGAACCUGGUGCCACUCACCAGCUUGCCAGCUCUAGUUAUACUGUCCAACCCAUGUCAGCAUGGAAAACGGAUGUUGUUGAUGAUAUGUGUGUGUGUGUACACUCACUUAAACACACAGAUAUAUAAUCAUUGUAUAAGCAGAAAUAAUGACACUUAAGGAUGAAUUAAUACACCUGGCCUAUAUACAGUAACAAUAAGAUGGUAAGAUGGUGGUCUUAUCUUAGGUUCUGUACUGAUUUAAUCAACCUGUUUACAAUAUCAUAAUACAAAAUCUGCUGGGGAGUUACAAAAAGUAUACCUUUAACCAAGUCCUUCAGCUAAAUAUUAGAUUUCGAAGCUGUUAGAUAAACAGAUCAUAUUUUAGAUCAGCAGGGAAAUAUUUUUACCUGAAUAGUCAUUGUGGUUUAAAUUGAGCACCCUGUAUAGAAUACAGUGAUAAAAUUAUAGUAACAAGGCUCUGAAAUGUUUUUUGGAGUAGUACCAUUGAAGGUUAGGUAAUAUUUCUUUGAUCCUAAGUAUUUAAAAUCACUAUGAUCUUAUUACCUCAUGUUUACUACUGUUGGACAGUGAAACAGGAAAGGAAUGUCUCAGGAAAUCCUUAUUAUAUCUAAACAGCUUGUUAAUGUUAUGGCCUAUCAACUAAAAGCUUGAUGGCUUAUAUUUCAUCACUGGCACUGUACUAUGCGAAUGAUCAAGACAUACAAUUUUCAGUUGUCUGAUUGACUUCAUUAUUAAUAAAGUACCAUGAAGAAAUGUAGCUAAUUGUUGUUUGCAUUAUGGGUACUGCAAAUGGUGAUUAAUGCAUUAGCUCAAAUCCUCUUACAGUUGAAAAAUGUACACAAAUUCCUUCUACAAGGGUAAAGGUGUUAGUCAACUGUUUUAGUCCUUGAAACAGAUUGACAAUUUUUAAAUAAUGACAGUAGGGAAAAAGGAAAAGAAUAUUCAUAGAAAGCUUAGGUAUAUGAUUUACAUUUAAUUUGGUACCUCACAUUUCUGAGAUUGUAGGAGGAUAUUUCUUUUCAUCCUCUUAGAUGUUAAUAGAAGUUUUACUUGAAUAGUUUAUUCAAUUGGCUAUUUACUAUGCCGUUACAAAAAAAAAAAAAAUCUUGUACUUAAUAUGUAAAAAUUAUUUCAUUUGGUUUAUUGUGGCAUGGAUGAGUGUGUGAGGUUACUUUGUCACCAAACUGAAGUUAUGAAUUCAUUUUGCUUCAAAGAUAUAACUGCUUUCCUUUAGUUGCUAAAUUCCUCAGGAACGGCAUAAGCUUUAAAACUUCAUGAUUUUCCUCUUCUAUGCAUGUGAAAAUUUUUAUGUAAGAAAUGCUACUUGACAAACAAUCCUUGACCUGAUUGAUAUUUCCAGUUGGAAUCAUUUAACUUAGAUUACUAACACCCUUAGAAAAGAUAUAAAUGUCACAACCUCCUGUAUGAAUGUGUGGCAUAGGGUGCCUCUGUUAGAAAUCCUUAUUUGUACAGUCCUGUCCUUAGUGGAUAAGUUAGAAAAAUGCUGUUUUAUCUGUCAGAUAGCAAAACAUUGAGUGAAGUGUUUACCUUAUCACUCACUGUAAUGACUUCACUUGUUUUAUAUUACAGUCAUAUUUGUAAUAAUUGAUAUAAAUAGUGAACUAGUUCCUGAAUGCCUCAGUAUUAAAUACUUUAAUGGUUAAAUUUUAUGUGAAAUGAAUAGUUCAUUAGCUGAAACUAACUAAACAUUUCCUCAUUCUUAUUCAUUAAAAUAUAAACUGAAAUAAACCUAGAAUACAUGGACAUACUCCAAUAAUUAGAUGUAGUUAGAAAAUACCUAUGUAUUAUUAUUUUAUUUUGCUAUUCUUUUGUUGUAACGAUUGGCGUAGGCAUGACUGUGUGGUAAGAAGCUUGCUUCCCAACCACUUAGUUCUGGGCUCAGUCUAACUGAAUGGCAAGUGUCUUCAGACUCUAGUUCAGGCUAACCAAAACCUUGUGAGUGGAUUUGAUAGAUGCACACUGAAAGAAGCCCAUCGUAUAUACAUACACAUAUAUAUAUUUGUGUGUGCCUUUGUGUCUGUGUUUGUCCCCCACCCACCCACCCACCCACCACUCGAUGGCCGGUGUUGGUGUGUUUACAUUCCCUGUAACUUAGCAGUUUGGCACAAGAGACUGAUUGAAUAAGUACUAGGCUUAAAAAGAAUAAGUCCUGUGGUUGAUUUCUUUGACUAAACCUCUUUAAGACGAUGCUCCAGCAUGGCUGUAUUCAGAUGAUUAAAACAAGUAAAAGAAUAAAAGAAUUGUUUAGGGGUAGUGAAAAAAAGAGUGGUAGAAGAUAAGAAGAACCACACUAGAUGAUAUAGUGUAUGAAUUCUCUCUGAGUUGACUUUUUACUUUAGUGUUGUUGUCAUGAUGUACCAGUAAUAUGCCAGAUUAUCAACUAACUUGUACAAAAAGGCUCAGUCCACAAGGAAGAAAUUAUUUGCAAUGAGAUACUAAAAAAGUUUUUUAUGAGAUUACUUAUGCUAGAAAUAGCUGCUGAUUUUCCUUACAUAUCACCCUACCAUCUUAAAAGAUGGAAAGAUACUCUAGAUAAAUUAGUUCUGAUAUGCAAAAGAAAGACAUGAUUACAGAUGCAAUGCCUUUGCUGCUUGACUCUGCUCAGUCAAGGAUGAUCUCAGCUAAGUAAUUAUCACCACCUCAGAUUUAGAGGAUCUUUUCUGUUUGGUUGCACCUGUGGAAAUUUUAAAGUUUGGUGAAAAUUUUAAAAUUUAGUGUAUUAAUGUAAUUUUCCAUGCUGAAUCUCAAGAGAUAAUUCACUUUUGCCAGAAAUUUUUUUUGAAAAAGUUACACAAGUUUAAAAUUUGAUCAUUUUUACCCAGUCAGAAAACAGGAUUUGGAAGCUGUUCUUUUGUGCAUGACAUCAUGUGUUGUCAGCUGUAAACAAAUGGAAUAUUGGUGGAAUCCUGCUUUACACAUGCCAUAUUACCCCUCAUAACUUUUUUAUUUUUUGGAAUUUUUAGAAAAUUCUUGUGAUUUUAUAUUCUACACAUAGGAAUUCAUACAAUUAUGCCCCCUUCCCCACAAAUAUAUUUUCCUGCAUGAUUUAAGGCCUAUUUAGCUGUUAUUUUUAGCACAUCUCAUACUGCAUGUGUUUAAGCAUUUAAUAAAUGACAAAAAGAACAUGUGGUAAGCAACUUGGUAACUGCUUAGCUUAUUACUAUGGAAACAGGCACCUAUAUGUCUAUGGCUUUCAAUUGGCUAAAAUUACCCAAAAUUUGCAAACUUUAAAAGCUAUUAACUCUUUAUUGAUUUAUGGUGAAAAUGAAGUUCAUGUCAAUGAUUACUUUACAAAACCACACCAAUACACCAAAUAUGAAAUCAACUAGAACAAAAAUUGAAGAAAUUGAAAAGUGGCAGCCAUACAGAAAAGAUCUGGUUUAGAUAGUAAGGGAAAGUGGAUGUGAUGCAUUCAAGCCUUUCUAAAUUAAAAAACACAGAUCUUUGAAUGAAACACUUGACUGAAGUUUCAUGCUUAAUAUAUAUGAAUAAUGUUUUCAACUUUUAAAACUUUCCUCCAAAAUUAAAGAUUGCCAAUGUUUCUAACAUUAGUAUCAAUGCAACCAUAUACGUUUAAAUUACUAAUGUCAGUUUUAAUUAUUUCUCUUCAGGUUUUCCUGGAUUUACCAUCUUUCUUAAUAAUUGUCGCGUCCACCAGUUCCUGGCAAUAGUUCAAUCAGGUAUUUCUCUUUUAAUUACUUUCCUACUGUUACAAAUCCUUUAUUGAUGGCAUUCAGUUUCAUUCCCUUGAUGUCUACUUCAUAUAUAUAUAUAUUAAAUGACCAGAUAUCUGAAUUUCAUUUUAGGGACAAGAGACAUUGACAACCAUUUAAAGGAUUAUGUAAAACCUCAGACAAUAAAUUUAAAGUACGAAUAAUUUGGAUAAACCACUUACAUAAAUUGUGUUUGAAAAGGUUUACAGACACUGUUGUAAAUAUCUAAUUCAGAAAUUAUCACAGAGAAAGAGAGAAAGAACAAUAUAUAGAAAUUUGCAAAAAAUGCAGGCUUAUCCACUAUGAGAUUUGUACAAAAUCAAGGAUCUUUCAGUUCUGAGUAGUCAAAAGAAAUUUUUGUAACAUUAGAUGAUAAAUGUUAUGAGUUAAAAAUUCAGCCAAACUGAAAAUUCACAGUUCAGUGCUUUCUAUUAAGAAGUAUAUCCAGCUGUGUAAAUUCUUGUUCCAACAAUUCAUUUGAAAAUAUCAAAAUUUUUAGUCUCAUCUCACCAGUUAGCAACUAGCAGUGAAUAUAAGUUAGUAAAAAAAUGUAAUUUUAGUUCUUUUUAAAUCAACAUUUAAGUCAAAUUCAUUUCUGGCUUACUGCUUAUCUGAUGCAAUUACUGCAAAUUAAAUUCUUCCUUGUAGAUAAAGAGUGCCACUGCUAAGAAUGUUGAAAAACCUGCAAGCUGAGAAAUAAACUAAAUUCCCUUUGUUUAUCAUUUUUGAGAAAAUCCAUUAUUUUGGCAAUUCUAAAGAUUUAGUUCGAUAUGAAGCUUUUCUUUUUCAUUCACAUCAUCAAAUUAACUCAGUUUUUGUCAUAUUUGUAAUAUAUUUUUCCUAAUAGUAGUAAUAUAAAUGUGGACAAAGCUGAUUAACUUAUCUUUUUCUUGAAUUUUUUUCAGCCUGUAAUAGUUGAUGAAAAUUAUUUUGAUUUAUGAAUAGAAAUUAAAAAUAAAAUGGAGUCUUGGAGUUUAUGUGAAGGGAUGCAAAGCUUUAAAAGGAGAGGGAAAAAAAGUUAAGAUUUAUUUGUAGGUUAAAAUAUUUUUUCAUUGACUCUACCUAGUCGUCAUUAUUGGUUUAACCCUUUAGCAUUCAGAUCAUCCUGUCAAAUGUAAUAUUGAUUUAUUCAUAUUGUUUGAAUUUAUUAUGCAUUAACUCGUAGCUUUCAGAUUUUGAUGAUGUGAUUGUUUAUAUUUGCAAUAACAUUAUAGGAUAGGUGUGAGAAGCCAAAUCUGGCCAGUGAACAUAAAAUGGGUAGAACAUUUUGGCCAGAUAUGGCCGGUUUAAAUGCGAAAAAAUUAAAUUUAAUUUUUCCUUACUGACUUUGAUUGGGUUGGUAUCUGCUACAAAUAUUUUUUUUGUUUUGUAUUAAAAUGCCAUUAAAGCAUUUCCUUAUCUCUGGGUUUCAGUAAAAUAAUGCCAGUAAAAUACUGGUGUCAGUUGAAUUAACUUAGAAAAACAGCUUUGUAUGUUGUUGAAAGACAUUCUAAUUUUCAUGUAUCUUCCGAAAACUAUCUCUACUGUAAUCUGAAGAGUUUAUUUCCCAUUUAUGCUGCAUAUAUGCCAUUCCAGUGAGUGGUCUGCUUCAGAUUAAAUAAUAGCAAUUUGACUUAGUGAAAAUAAACUAUGCUGAGUAUCUAAAUUGAUCUUGGAGGUAGAAAUACACUUCAUAUAUUGCCUGAUUGUAAUGUUAAAAUAUUCCUAGUCAUUAAUGCAUAAAUAUAAACAGACAACUUUCAUAUCAUAGAAGGAGAUGAAAUCUAGUUAGCUGUUAAGAUAACAAAAUGUAACAUUUUCUUUUCUUAUAGUCAGUGUAAAAAAAUAUAUAGUAAGAAACAAGACACCUGUUUAUUUCAACUAUUCUUUAUAAUACACACAAAUACUCCCACUCACACACUAGUUGGUUUUAUCUGGAUAUGGCUCCUAAGUCAAAGCAAGCAGGAAAUGCUUCUUUCUUGUUAGGCAAUGUAAUAUACCACUCAUAAUUCAUGGCAUUCUAUAGUCACUAAGUAUGGUGUUUAUGUAGUGUGCAUGAAGGUACUUUUCUUAAUUAUAUACUUGCUCUUCUGCUUUACCUGUUUGAAAUAGUUCUUAUUAAGUAGCUGUCAUCUAAUACUUGUGCGGAUGGUCCCUAUCUUUUUAAAAAAUAGCUAUUUUUACAGUGCAUAUUAGAUAUUUCCAACUAAUAUAAUGAAGUUAAGCAAAUUUUCAAAAUAUUUUAUAACUUCCAAACUUUAUUUUAUGUAUAAAACUAACUUUAAAGUAGUAAGUUAGAUUUUUUUAUUCCCUUACUUUCAUAAUUUUCUCAGUUUAUUAUCAGUAAUUAUUUAACUCUUAUAUCAUUUUACAUAAUUGCAUAUAUUUGUGAACAAUUGUGUCUUGGUUUCCAGGAACUAGCUGCAGGUUCAUAGAGUGUGUUUGCUUCUAUUUUAAUACUACUGUAUUGAAAAUAGAGAAUAGUUGAGACACAUUUGUUACUUUCAUUGUUACCAAAAUAGAAUUUAGUGUAAGGAUCUUUAUAUCUUGCUGUAAUAUGACAGCAUGGUAGCUUAGGAGUGUUAGAUCCAUAGAAUUCAGUUUCAACCCAUACCACAGACAGUGCACUUAUCACUUAACUGAAAAGUAAGUACUGAUUCUACUUAAUGAAUAUUUAGUUUUUGAAUUUGAAGAAGCGCCCAGCCAAUGCUUAUAUAUUGAAAAGAAAAUUAAUGAAAGAUGUAGAAUCUUAAAAAAUUUUUCAUGAAACUUUUAGCAAGAUAAUGGACAGUAAAUGGCUGAAAAUAUUGUUACUUUGUGUUAGGAAGCUUAAUUAGAAUUUUUAAUAUGACAUACUAUGCAAUGCUCUUCUUUCUGAGAUAUAAUUUUGAAAAUAUCAAAGCCACUUUGAAUUUAUUCCUGGGGUCUCAGCUAUGUGUUUGUCAUUUUCAUGCCUGUUUUUAGAUGCCCUAAAAGAAUGUUACUAAUUUCCCUUUGCAAUAAAAACGUUGCUGGGCAAAUUUUUUUGUUUUCAUUUUGACUUUAUCUCAAGCAUUUAUCAUGUACUUCUGUAUAAUGGGCUUUAUUAAAAUUAUGUAAACUAUAACUGGCAGUGCUCCAGCAUGGUCACAGCCGUUUGCUCAUUUCUUGCAGAUGUUUCAGCAUUUCUCAUUUCUUGAGCAAUAAUGUGUAGUAGAGGAUUUUAUUUGCUGCAAUAACAUUAAAUUAAAAUGUUAGAUUAAAACUAAAAAAUAAAAGAAAAGAUAUAACAAAAUAAAUUUUUUUUGGUAUAAUUAACUUUCUUUACAAUAAUAUUUCAUUUACAAUAGUAUUUCAUUCAGCUGUAGAGCAUAAGAUACUGAAAUUAGGUUCUGUAAAUAUCAAAACAGGCUUUCUGCCUCUAAAUCAGAUUGUCAGUUCUAGCUAUAAAAAAAUAAUAGAUUAUUUAAAGCAUCUCAACAUUUGGAUUUUGUCAUGAACCUGGCAAUAUGUAAUAGCCAUUCCAAAGUAGCCAUGUUAAGAGAGAAAACAUAUAGUUUUCUCUUUUAAUACAGCUGGAAUGCUUUUGUUCUCUAAUUGUAAGUGACCUUUUAUGUAAUGUUAACUAUCUUUUAAUGGGAACAACUAAAUGAGAUCGCUUCUU